AUUGUCUUAAUUGUGGGAAUUAAGAUUUUACUUCAUAUAAUGAUAUAAUUUGAAUACCCCUCCGUCUCCACUGACCAAAAGACCAGGACUGGUGGGGGUUAUUCUGGUCCAAUUUGCUCCAACCCACAUACCUCCGUGGUCUCCAAAGGCUGGCACAAGUCCCAACCAAGCACAACGCCUGCAGGCCGCUCGCCACUUUAAAAUUGCGAAUGUGCAAUCCAACGACGUAUAUGUGUCUCUGGAAUACCGUUACAGCACAACCGAGCUUAUGAUCACCCGCUUGAAC